CAAGCGGUGGAGUAUGUGGUUUAAUUCGAUGCAACGCGAAGAACCUUACCUGGUCUUGACAUCCCGGAGACCCUUAGGAAACUAGGGGUGCUUCCAUCUGGAAGAAUCUGGAGACAGGUGCUGCAUGGCUGUCGUCAGCUCGUGUCGUGAGAUGUUGGGUUAAGUCCCGCAACGAGCGCAACCCUUGCCUUUAGUUGCCAGCAGUUCGGCUGGGCACUCUAAAGGGACUGCCGGUGUUAAACCGGAGGAAGGUGGGGAUGACGUCAAGUCCUCAUGGCCUUUAUGACCAGGGCUACACACGUACUACAAUUGCCGAUACAAAGGGCAGCGACACUGCGAGGUGAAGCCAAUCCCGUAAAAUCGGUCUCAGUCCGGAUUGGAGUCUGCAACUCGACUCCAUGAAGUUGGAAUCGCUAGUAAUCGUGGAUCAGCAUGCCACGGUGAAUACGUUCCCGGGCCUU
rnacentral:rRNA from 1 species